CAACAGAGCCGAGGAACUCUUGAGUUUACCUUAAUUUUGUUUCCUAGCACGUGCAGAUACUGAGUGUCUAAUUCUGGCUUAAACCAUUGUGUCUGGAGAGGAAAGCCACCUUGAAUUCACACGGCUACUAGGGUCCAUUCUGGAAUACACAGGGAAUAAUGUGAUGAUUUAUAUGCAAAGCACUGCAAGCUUGCCUAGAGCAGUCCAGCAAAUGCCAAGUGUUUACUAAGAGGAUACCAUGUUCCUGAAUCUCGACAGAAAACAGCAUUAUAGAAUGAGGCUGUACCUGCGGCCAUUUUGCUAUUGAAACUUAUAGAAAUGUUUUUUUGCAGUUUCUUUACAUGCUACUAAUAGUCAAAUACAG
rnacentral:lncRNA from 1 species